CAAUCAGAGUGCGUUGCCUAAAAUAGCACUCGUACACAAGGAGAAACAAAUAUGGCGCGGUGGAGUUCGAAAUCGAGAGUAGGCCUAUUGUUGAUGAGGCAAGCAGUCAGAGCAGUCCAGAACUAGAGGGUAAAGAGCUCCCUGAGGUAAAGAGUUUAAAGGUUUAGUAGAGUUGGCAGUGUUACAUAUAGCACUUCUAGGUCCAGUGGUACAAGGCUUGGUAGAGGUGUGAGAUCAAUAGGAUUGACCCAAGGACAUGAAAGGAGAAUUCAGUAACUCACAAAACAGAGCAUACAUUAUGGUGUUGCCAAGAAAAGAGCUGAAUGCAUUGUGACCAGUGUGACGAAAAUCCUGGCCUUGCACUGGAUAUAAAGAUGCUUUUGCUGGAGAAUUUACUGGGACUGGCCCAUCUGCUCACUGUAAUGUCCCCUACAUUUUGACUGCUGUUGAAUUUGCUGGAUUACUUCUCUUUGAAGAAAAUCACAGAAUAACUAUUACCACGAGUAUCAGUAUACUGACCAAACAUUCAUAAGACCUGUAAUAUGCAAGUCACUAAGUAGAAGGAUUCUUUUCAUUCUACUGUAAUUUGUGCAACAAUUCAGUAAUCAUAAAAAAUAAAGGCAUGGAAAAAUAAGGUGCUUUCAUUUAUCUGUUCCUCAUACCAAAAGUAAAAUGCAACUCUGUACAUAAUCUGUUCAUAAAAUCAAUCAGUACAU